rnacentral:rRNA from 1 species
AACGUAGGACACAAGCGUUAUCCGGAUUCACUGGGCGUAAAGGGUGCGUAGGUGGUGAGGUAAGUCGGAUGUGAAAUCUCCGGGCUCAACCCGGAAAUGGCAUUGGAAACUACCUUGCUGGAGGAUUUGAGGGGGGAUUGGAAUACUUGGUGUAGCAGUGAAAUGCGUAGAUAUCAAGUGGAACACCAGUGGCGAAGGCGAAUCCCUGGAAAAUACCUGACACUGAGGCACGAAAGCUAGGGGAGCGAAUGGG